rnacentral:rRNA from 1 species
UCAAACUUCGUGAUAGCUGGUUCUCUCCGAAAUAUAUUUAGGUAUAGCGUUGUGUCGUAAUAUAAGGGGGUAGAGCACUGAAUGGGCUAGGGCAUACACCAAUGUACCAAACCCUAUCAAACUCCGAAUACCUUAUAUGUAAUCACAGCAGUCAGGCGGCGAGUGAUAAAAUCCGUCGUCAAGAGGGAAACAACCCAGACUACCAGCUAAGGUCCCUAAAUCUUACUUAAGUGGAAAACGAUGUGAAGUUACUUAAACAACCAGGAGGUUGGCUUAGAAGCAGCCAUCCUUUAAAGAAAGCGUAAUAGCUCACUGGUCUAGUGAUUUUGCGCGGAAAAUAUAACGGGGCUAAAGUAAGUACCGAAGCUGUAGACUUGCACACAACUUAGAUUAUUUAAGUUUAGAAUAUUAAGAAACUAAGUUAUAUGUUUUAGUUAUAUUUUUACUGAUUUUUAUAGGGUAAAGAUAGAAAUAAAACUUAGUAAAAUCAGUAAAAAUAUUCUUAGGCUAAAGUUAAGUAGUUUAAGUUGUGUGCAAGUGGUAGGAGAGCGUUCUAUUUGCGCCGAAGGUAUACCGGUAAGGAGUGCUGGAGCGAAUAGAAGUGAGCAUGCAGGCAUGAGUAGCGAUAAUUAAUGUGAGAAUCAUUAACGCCGUAAACCCAAGGUUUCCUACGCGAUGCUCGUCAUCGUAGGGUUAGUCGGGUCCUAAGCCGAGUCCGAAAGGGGUAGGCGAUGGCAAAUUGGUUAAUAUUCCAAUACCAACAUUAGUGUGCGAUGGAAGGACGCUUAGGGCUAAGGGGGCUAGCGGAUGGAAGUGCUAGUCUAAGGUCGUAGGAGGUUAUACAGGCAAAUCCGUAUAACAAUACUCCGAGAACUGAAAGGCUUUUUGAAGUCUUCGGAUGGAUAGAAGAACCCCUGAUGCCGUCGAGCCAAGAAAAGUUUCUAAGUUUAGCUAAUGUUGCCCGUACCGUAAACCGACACAGGUGGGUGGGAUGAGUAUUCUAAGGCGCGUGGAAGAACUCUCUUUAAGGAACUCUGCAAAAUAGCACCGUAUCUUCGGUAUAAGGUGUGGUUCGCUUCGUACUAGGAUUUACUCCGAAAGCGAAGAAACUUACAACAAAGAGUCCCUCCCGACUGUUUACCAAAAACACAGCACUCUGCUAACUCGUAAGAGGAUGUAUAGGGUGUGACGCCUGCCCGGUGCUCGAAGGUUAAUUGAUGGGGUUAGCAUUAGCGAAGCUCUUGAUCGAAGCCCGAGUAAACGGCGGCCGUAACUAUAACGGUCCUAAGGUAGCGAAAUUCCUUGUCGGUUAAAUACCGACCUGCAUGAAUGGCGUAACGAGAUGGGAGCUGUCUCAAAGAGGGAUCCAGUGAAAUUGUAGUGGAGGUGAAAAUUCCUCCUACCCGCGGCAAGACGGAAAGACCCCGUGGACCUUUACUACAGCUUGACACUGCUACUUGGAUAAGAAUGUGCAGGAUAGGUGGGAGGCUUUGAGUAUAUGACGCCAGUUGUAUAUGAGCCAUUGUUGAGAUACCACUCUUUCUUAUUUGGGUAGCUAACCAGCUUGAGUUAUCCUCAAGUGGGACAAUGUCUGGUGGGUAGUUUGACUGGGGCGGUCGCCUCCCAAAUAAUAACGGAGGCUUACAAAGGUUGGCUCAGAACGGUUGGAAAUCGUUCGUAGAGUAUAAAGGUAUAAGCCAGCUUAACUGCAAGACAUACAAGUCAAGCAGAGACGAAAGUCGGUCUUAGUGAUCCGGUGGUUCUGUGUGGAAGGGCCAUCGCUCAAAGGAUAAAAGGUACCCCGGGGAUAACAGGCUGAUCUCCCCCAAGAGCUCACAUCGACGGGGAGGUUUGGCACCUCGAUGUCGGCUCAUCGCAUCCUGGGGCUGGAGCAGGUCCCAAGGGUAUGGCUGUUCGCCAUUUAAAGCGGUACGCGAGCUGGGUUCAGAACGUCGUGAGACAGUUCGGUCCCUAUCUGCCGUGGGCGUAAGAAGAUUGAAGAGAUUUGACCCUAGUACGAGAGGACCGGGUUGAACAAACCACUGGUGUAGCUGUUGUUCUGCCAAGAGCAUCGCAGCGUAGCUAAGUUUGGAAAGGAUAAACGCUGAAAGCAUCUAAGCGUGAAGCCAACUCUAAGAUGAAUCUUCUCUAAGCUCUCUAGAAGACUACUAGUUUGAUAGGCUGGGUGUGUAAUGGAUGAAAGUCCUUUAGCUGACCAGUACUAAUAGAGCGUUUGGCUUAUCUUUAUAAAGCAU